rnacentral:lncRNA from 1 species
GCUUUGCCGGUCAGAACGAAAGCAGAAGCAAGCUGGGCAGCAUCUCGAAGCGCAGUCGUUUUUCACCCUCCGUCGCCUCCCAGUCUGGGGUGGCGUUCCGCAGACCCCCGGAGCCCGGAGGGCUGGAGCGACCCGGGUGGCGCCCCGCGUGGCCGCGCACACCCGCCGAUGCAGACUCCGGCCCGCAAGCCCCGCCUCCCGGGCCCAGCUGAUCCGCGCCGCCCUGCAGGCCCCACACCUCGGCCCCGCGGAGCCCCACGCCACCCGCGCCCGCCAACCCCGCGCCGCCGACCUAGGUCCGGGCCGCGCACCUCCCGCCGCGCGCGCGCGCCGAGAAGGGAGCGGGAGGCGGGGCGGCCUACGCGGUGCGGCGGAGCGGUGAGUGGCGCGUCCCCGCUGCGGCCAUGGAGGUCUACAUCCCGUCCUUUCGCCACGAGGACAGCGAUCUGGAGCGCGGCUACACGGUGUUUAAAAUAGAAGUGCUAAUGAACGGAAGAAAACAUUUUGUUGAGAAACGGUACAGUGAAUUCCAUGCCUUGCACAAAAAGCUUAAGAAAUGUAUAAAGACUCCGGAAAUCCCUUCUAAACACGUCAGGAACUGGGUCCCCAAAGUCCUGGAACAACGGAGGCAAGGCCUGGAAACCUAUUUACAGGCCGUCAUCUUGGAAAAUGAGGAACUUCCCAAACUCUUCCUUGACUUCCUCAAUAUCUUUUGAUGAGACAGAAUCCGAAGAGUCAAGCAAGCUAUCCCACCAGCCGGUGCUGCUGUUCCUUGGGGACCCAUACGUCUUGCCUGCAGCCAGCGAUUUUCCAAAUGUGGUCAUCGAAGGAGUUCUUCACGGGAUCUUUUUCUCUCACCUACAGCCCAGGUAGAAAGGCUACCGGCUGGAAGAAGCUGCAGCAAGUGUCAAUGCCAACGGCAAGAAAAAUCGAUAUCUCUACCAAGUUAACCGAAACUACGUGACACAAGAGCUCUAGCUAUAGUGGGAAAAUUCACAGUCCUAGCUCCCUUUGGAACAGGGACAUUUCUAUUAGAAUGGUGCUUUUAAAAUUAGAAACCGGACCAGGGCGGGGUCAGUUUAAGACCAAUUAUUUGAGAAGUGAAAGGGAGAGAGAUUACAAGGGAAGUCGGGAAAAGGAGGCCACAGUGGAUUACUGGGAGUGCCGAGUGUCACAGAACAGAGCCAGGCUCUGCUUCAGCCGCGCUAUCUGCUAAUUGGAUAUCAUAAUAGCCCGCCCGAGUGAGGCUGACACUGAGCAGCUCCGCGGCCUUCUGUUCAGACCUUGGGCACGCCCACCUUUGCGCCAUGGGAGUUUUCUCAUCUGGGAUACUGUAUUCUGGAGUGUGGGCGCCUGAAGAGUAUCCUGGAACCCACUGUGCCGGACUGAAAAUUCAGUUACACUGACCGUAGAAUGCAUUUUCAUUUCCAUUACGGACGAGAUGCCUCCCACCUACAGAUCAGCCGCCAGCAUCGGGGCUCGAGGUGAAACGGGGUGUUUGGGACCACUCCUGAGAGCACUCUAGAAAGGCUCCUCCGAAGACCGGCUGACACCCCUGGCAAAGUUCCAGGGGCCGUUCCAUGUAGAAAGUAUGUACUCUAAACACUAAAAUCAUACGCCCAAGAGUGGGGCAUGGGCGUCAGUGGCCAUCAUAGGAGCAAACAGACUGUGGCAGUGCUCCCCCACGGUGUACACCCACGCCGCUGUCACAGGCUCUGUUCCGGUUCCUCCUCGACUGACCCCGUGUAUGGAUUAAAGUGAGUUAGAUGCUCGAUGCUGUCCCUCCACUGGAUGUCACAGAGGUCAUCUUUCACCCGGUGACGGAGCAGAGCCUAGGCCCUACCUGUGUGUGUGCUGACGAACAGCCUACUUAUGGUUAUGAAUUUUCAUAAAUUUCAAUGUGGGAGGAAAUAUUUACAAUUAAAAUACCAUGUCAUGAAUUUUUAUUAGAUUGAAAGCCUGCUGCAAACUUUUAAAAAUAACAUUUUUAUGAUGGAUUGUGUAACCACAUGUUGGAAAUAAAGUAACCAAGUGUUAUCAAAAAAAAAAACCCAACUAAAUAGUGAAGAACUAGAGAUACUUUUUAAAAUGUUUUUAUGUUACUAGCUAUUUUGAGUUAAAUAAAAACAAACAAAAGUAAGUAUUUG